rnacentral:rRNA from 1 species
GGACUACUGGGGUUUCUAAUCCUGUUCGCUCCCCACGCUUUCGCUUCUCAGUGUCAGUAUCGGCCCAGAGACCCGCCUUCGCCACCGGUGUUCCUCCUGAUAUCUGCGCAUUCCACCGCUACACCAGGAAUUCCAGUCUCCCCUGCCGAACUCUAGCCCGCCCGUAUCGGAAGCAGGCCCGCGGUUAAGCCGCGGGUUUUCACUCCCGACGCAACGAGCCACCUACAAGCUCUUUACGCCCAAUAAUUCCGGACAACGCUCGCACCCUACGUAUUACCGCGGCUGCUGGCAC